rnacentral:sRNA from 1 species
CCCUUUUGCAACCUCCUUUCUUUCUAACAAUCCCCGCAACCUGAAAAGCUACCGCCGUUCCUUUCAUCAUCAUCUGAUUGAUUCAGUACUCGCAUUUCUUUUGAAUGACCGGCAACAAGAUGUUGAGAGGCUUUUUCGGUUCCUCAGAGAAAACAGCAAAGAAGAAGAAAAAGAGGGACAACAGCAGUAGUACAGAAGAUUCGACAUCCAGUCCGACUACAUCUGGGACCAGGACAUCUAAUUACAGUAAAUCGUCUACUUCAGAUUGCAGCGAAACUCCUAUAACCACAAGCAGUAGUGCGUCAAAGGAAAGCUUUGGGACUAGCACAUCGUACAGCUCCAGUUCAGACAGUCCAUCUGAAACCGAUUCGUUGUCGUCAUCCAGUGAUAGUAGUAGCUCGGAAGGGACAUCCUCCCGAGAGAGCACUUCGCCUGAAAGCACGCCACCAGCUGGAAUCAAUCGGUUCUUCUCCCAACAGAUGCAAAACGUCGCGGAUGCUUUGGCUGGCAAAAGAUGAGUAAAAGCAAAUGCGUUUGGCUCGUCAUCAUGCAUAAUCACCUUGUCCUUGUCAUCUUCAUAGUCUUGCUUUCCAAAAGCCUACUUUUCCCACCUCCUUGUCAUCCAGUUUGUCUUUCCAAUGGAGCCACCACUCCAUCCCUAACCCUCUAUGUUCAUCUCUAAGGUCUUGAAUGACCAUUUUAAACGCCUCUUCCAUCAAUAU